CACGAAGGUUAGCUAAUCCUGGUCGGACAUCAGGAGGUUAGUGCAAUGGCAUAAGCUAGCUUGACUGCGAGCGUGACGGCGCGAGCAGGUGCGAAAGCAGGUCAUAGUGAUCCGGUGGUUCUGAAUGGAAGGGCCAUCGCUCAACGGAUAAAAGGUACUCCGGGGAUAACAGGCUGAUACCGCCCAAGAGUUCAUAUCGACGGCGGUGUUUGGCACCUCGAUGUCGGCUCAUCACAUCCUGGGGCUGAAGUAGGUCCCAAGGGUAUGGCUGUUCGCCAUUUAAAGUGGUACGCGAGCUGGGUUUAGAACGUCGUGAGACAGUUCGGUCCCUAUCUGCCGUGGGCGCUGGAGAAUUGAGGGGGGCUGCUCCUAGUACGAGAGGACCGGAGUGGACGCAUCACUGGUGUUCGGGUUGUCAUGCCAAUGGCACUGCCCGGUAGCUAAAUGCGGAAGAGAUAAGUGCUG
rnacentral:rRNA from 1 species